rnacentral:rRNA from 1 species
UGGGGGAUAUUGCACAAUGGGCGAAAGCCUGAUGCAGCAACGCCGCGUGAGGGAAGACGGUUUUCGGAUUGUAAACCUCUGUCUUCGGUGAAGAAAAAAAUGACGGUAGCCGAGGAGGAAGCCACGGCUAACUACGUGCCAGCAGCCGCGGUAAUACGUAGGUGGCGAGCGUUGUCCGGAAUUACUGGGUGUAAAGGGAGCGCAGGCGGGGAGACAAGUCAGCUGUGAAAACUAUGGGCUUAACCCAGAAACUGCAGUUGAAACUGUUUUUCUUGAGUUGAGUAGAGGUAGGCGGAAUUCCGAGUGUGGCGGUGAAAUGCGUAGAUAUUCGGAGGAACACCAGUGGCGAAGGCGGCCUACUGGGCUCUAACUGACGCUGAGGCUCGAAAGUGUGGGGAGCAAACA